GGCCAUCCGAUGAUUGAAUUGGAACCUAAAUUUGCCAUGUACAAUAUAUUCGUGAAUUAUUCAUCAAAAAAAUAUAUUCGUGAAUGAUUCACUGUUCAUAAGAACAGCGUACAUAAGAAACAGCGUACUCCCUAUUUUGCCCCUGAUAAGUUUGUUUUAGUACGUUUGUGCCACUUUAUGGAUGGGAAAGUAUAUACAGUUUAUUUUUUCUUACCUUUUUCUUCUUCUCCCUACAUGCUAUUUCUUCUCGCUCCUCUCUGCGACUCACCACUGUGGUUGCCGACGAGUUCUUCGUUUCCGGCAAAUACAAGCCAACAAACCACCGAAGAGAAACCAUCUCCUUACAUUCAAUAUAAAUCUAUUUCUAAAAAUUCUCAUCCAUUUUUAUUUAUUAAGUUGGUGCUCGAGUUGAACUAUUUCCGGCCGAACGCCGACGAAUCGGACCUCCCCGUUACAAUCAAUCGUCUACCCUUCGUCUCAGAAACCAAAAUCACCAGUUGCAUGCGAUUCGCUACGGUUUAAGGUGAAUCAGAGGUAAAGCUUAAAUUUUCAUACAAAGUCUGUAUUUUUCUUAAUCGGAAUUUGGGCUUUUUUUAUCCUUUUACUGAAUACUUGUUAAGAAUUGUUAGAAUUAUUAAUUGUUUUGGUUUCUUUUGAUUUUUUUUAUAUUUUAUUUUGAAGCCUUGAUUUUUUUUUUUUUAUUAAUUGAGGAUGAAAUUUAUUCUUUCUUAACAUUAUUUGACUGCAGAUUCUAAGUCCUCAAUGCCAAGUUACAUAGCAUGCUCGAUUCCAAUUCUUAUUUAUGGGGAUGAUGCAAAACCCAUAAUUUCUUUGUCAGUUGGCUUCUACUGAGACUAUGCAGGUAUACUUAUUCAGGGUUUCUAAUAUUUGCUUACAGUUUGAACAAAAAUAAAAAAUAAAAAACCUUUGCUUACAGAGAGUUGAUGACUAGGCAGUGAUUUCUGUUGAGCACCAAUUAUUUGCACCCCUUUUCCCUCCUUCCAUAAUUGAAGUGCUUUUGACUUUCUGUAGUUAUGAUUUACAAGAUAAAAUUGUUGAUUUUGUUUCAUCCAUUUGUGUUUCCUUUUACAAAAAUUAAGAAAGGGAAUGCUAUGAUAAUUUGAGGUUUUCGUUUUGAUAUUCAUAUGUGUACGAAAGGGUUUAAUAGAUAUCGUUUCUGUGUGUAGUGGGUACUCGGAGAAGUUUGUGAAGGCUCAAUGGGAAAAGGGGAUUGCAUUUCAGAUUGGCAGAAAUACAAGGCCUGCCUUUCUGUGCGUUUCCAAUCUUACCUCCUCCUAAAUUAUCUUCCAUAUCACAAUUUAUAUGAUUAAUUUGCUGAUUCUUUUUUCUGAGAUUUGAGUUUUUAUCUCCUGAUUAUUUUUUUGCAGAGAUUGUAUUAAUUUUCCUUUAACUGGGAAUUUGGUGUUUCUCAAGUAUAAUGUUAUCAAAUUUUGUUUUCUAAUUUUCUGAUUUUGGGGUUUUGCAGGGAGUGAUAUAUACAAAUUUUUUGGGAUUUUUGGUCCUUGUAGGUUUUCGUUCGCCAGACAAUGAUAGGCGAAUCACCACAAGAAGUAGCAAUUUUGUUGCAAACUGAAUCCGGGAUGACUCACCUAGAGUCUGUAAGUUUCCGAACUUAAAUUGCAUUAUGUCUCUCUUUCUGCCCUUUAGAAGGGUUUCGGUUUUUCGCGUUCCUAUACUUAUUUCUUUGAAAGCACCUUAAUUUUGUGUUUAAUUUGGGUUUUUGUGUUAUGAAUUCUAAAUUUUGCAUUUAAUUUGGGUAUUUGUGUUAUAAAUUCUAAAUUUUUCUUUUAAAUUAGGUUUUUGUGGGUUUAGAAUUUUGAAUUUCAGCCUUAUGCUAUAAUUUAAUAGGAUCUGUUUUUUUUUUUUUUUUGAAUUGUUGAUUACUGAGAAGAUUGAGUAUAUUGUGAAGGAAAAAUGAUAUAUAUAUUUUUACUAUAAUUUUGGUUUCGAUGAUAAAAUUUGGAUUUGCCCGUUUGGGGAUUUUCCAGUUCAGAACCUAGGAAACAAGUAGUAGAUGCAGAGGCAUUGUUGGACAGAACUAACAUAUUGUGGACCUCUAUUAAGUCACAGUCCAGUGACGGGAUUAGCCUGUCCGACUUUGUUACUGCUUUGCUUAAUAAUUUUAGCCAACCGAAAGAAAAUGAUGACUAUGUCUUGGUUAAUUGGAAGGAAAUUGGGUGUGCUGUUUUGCCUAUUUUCAAGAGCGCUGAUGAGUGUUGCACUAUGCAAGUUAUUUGUUUCCAAUGUUCGAAUGCAUUCAUUUAGUCUUAGCUUUACUUAUGUUGUCCCCAUUUGUUUUCUCAUAUGUUGUACUGUUUCGAAUUAAAUUUAACAAACCAUCCCCGCACUAACAACUCUAUUUUUCAAAAUUUGUAGCAACCAAUUGAAAACACUUGCAAAGGAAGACAUAGAAGAAAACCCCUCUACAUAGUGAAGAUGGAGAUGAACUCGAGAAUAAUGAAGUAGGAAAAUCUAAAUCCCAUUAAGUUAGUCUUCUCAAACAGUAGAUAUGUAUACAUGUAAAUAGCACAAGACUUACUAUAACAUGAAAAGCAGCAUAUAAAGUAUGUUAUAAAUGUAAACAACACUGUAAAUAGUAUCAGCUUUUGUAAUUAACACCGUAAAAAAUUUCAUCUCUUUGUUUAAACAUAUUAUAUAUAAAAUAAUACCACCUUAAACGAUCUUAAAACCCGCGGCAUCGCGCGAGGUUUCAAUUGCUAAUUACAUAUGUUGAUGCACAAAAUUGGUGAG
rnacentral:lncRNA from 1 species